rnacentral:misc_RNA from 1 species
UACAGAGGUCCCAAGCGUUGUUCGGAUUCACUGGGCGUAAAGGGUGCGUAGGUGGUUGGAUAAGUCUGAUGUGAAAUCUCCGAGCUCAACUCGGAAAAUGCAUUGGAUACUAUUCAGCUAGAGGAUUGGAGGGGGGACUGGAAUUCUCGGUGUAGCAGUGAAAUGCGUAGAUAUCGAGAGGAACACCAGUGGCGAAGGCGAGUCCCUGGACAACUCCUGACACUGAGGCACGAAAGCUAGGGGAGCAAACAGG